rnacentral:sRNA from 1 species
AUUCUGAUGGGUGGUGACGAGUUCGCGUCAGCGAACGAGUUCACACCCAUCAGAAUAUCACGUGAUACCCAAAAUAUAAUUGUUCAAUAAGGAACUUGUAUCAUGUCAAUCAUUGGUCACUUGACCCAUUGUUUUAGCUCCACCCAAAUUAGCACGGACUGAAUUCGCGCCUCUUUCAUAAUAGUUGCGCGAUGCAGGACGAAAUGGACGUUGGCGAUUUUUCUGCGUUCGAUGUUUUCCAGGCGGACAUCGAUGACCUUACUCUGUCUCAAGUCUGCGAAGAAAUGGAAAAAGAAAACGCCGUUUUGAAGGAUUUGACAAAUUGACUAUGUCACAGACAAUGCAGGCAUACGGAUUCAGCCAUCAUGCUGAUCCGCUGGACCACAUGGAUUUUUGUUCCUAUGAGCAAACAGAUUUCGGUUCAAGUAUGGUCAAUUUCGACGUGAAUUUACCCGAGUUGAGUGAUGCCGAUGUUUUGGUGGAACCUGAAAUUAAACCGACUGCCAGCGUAUCUGCUACGGAAAAUACCCGUUUUGUUGCACCAUUAUCAGAAACGGACGUUAAAAAUUUGAUAGAUUCUCAGGAAAAUGUCAACACUAAGAAAAACACGACCUGGGCGCUCCGUGUGUUUGAGUCUUGGCGUGCACACAGAAACAGUUAUGGCGAAUCUGUGAAGGAAUUGCAUGACAUGAACACCGAAGAAAUGAAUUACUAUCUUGGGCGUUUCAUUGCUGAAGCCAGAAAACAGGAUGGACAACCGUACCCUCCACGCUCACUAUAUCUCAUUUCCUGUGGCCUUUUACGACACCUUAGAGACAAGAAAGUUUAUGAUAAAAACUUUCUCUGCACCAAAACAUUGGAGUUUUCCGAAUUCCGAAAAAUACUCGACGCAAGGAUGAAGGAGCUGCUACAAAUGGGAUUCGGCACAAAGGUCAAGCAGGCGCAGGCAGUUCUACCUGAAGACGAAAAAGUGCUUUGGGAAAAGGGUGUCUUCGGAAAUUCCACUGCUGAGGCAUUGCAGAGUACGGUGUUCUUCUAUGCGUGCAAGUUAUUUGCUUUGAGGGGCCACGACGAGCAUCACCAGUUAAAAUGUGAUCAGUUUGCAAUUGGAGAAGAUCAAGGAGGGAAGUAUGUUGAAUUUUUCGGACGCAGCAAUAAAACAUACAAAGGUGGCCUCAAGGAUCUGGAGAUUUCCAACAAAAACAUCCGUCAUUAUUGCCAGAAUGUGGAUCGAAAUGUAGCAGAUUUCUUUAAACAGUACAUUGAAGCACUGGGGGGACGAGGUGCAUUUUACAGACGACCUCUCCAUGGCUAUCCUAUUCGUUAUGGUGAACAACCAAUAGGUAUCAACAAGCUGAAAAACUUCAUGAAGAUCAUUUGUGAGCGUGGUGGUCUGAAGGGUAAUUAUACAAAUCACAGCGGAAAACGAAGUUGUGCGACACAACUUUACAUGGCUGGUGUCGAUGAACAGGAAAUCAUGGCAAGAACUGGGCACAGGUCUGAAAAAAGCGUGCGCAAAUACAAGCAGUCAUCGACAGAGAUCCAACAGAAAGUAGCAUCUGUCCUAGAUCCGCCUCCCACAACUUGCUCACUGAAGCGUGAUCGAGCCUCUGAUGAUGGAGAAAACUGCAUUGGUACAUGCAAGUCCAAGAAAAUGAAAGUUGAAGUAUCUGAUGAAUUGCCGAAAACCAGUUAUUCGAGUGUAUUAAAAGAAUUAUCCCAAAACCGUCCGAUUUUUAGCAAUUGCAACAUUUCUUUCAACUGCUAAACCUUAGGAGCAGAGGUGCUGUGUGAAAUGUUUUUUGUUUGUUUGAUAUUUUGUGUAAACCGACCAAUUUUCAGCGAUCGCAGCCGAAUCUUAUGAGUUGAGCACUGUGUGAACUUUUUUUGUUGUUUUUUUUUUUUGCAUUUAAUCUAUGGCAAUGGCCAUUUAUUUGCCGUUUUGUUUAUAUAAGCGACCAAUAAAAAUAUUUUGGAC